AGUGAACGCUGGCGGUGUGCUUAACACAUGCAAGUCGAACGAGAACGGAUUAUAGCUUGCUAUAAUUGUCAGCUAAGUGGCGCACGGGUGAGUAAUGUAUAGGUAAUAUGCCUCUUACUAAGGGAUAACAAAUGGAAACGUUUGCUAAUACCUUAUACUCCUUAUUAACAUAAGUUAAUAAGGGAAAGAUUUAUUGGUAAGAGAUUAGCCUGUAUUGUAUCAGUUAGUUGGUGGGGUAAUGGCUUACCAAGACUAUGACACAUAACUGGUUUGAGAGGAUGAUCAGUCACACUGGAACUGAGACACGGUCCAGACUCCUACGGGAGGCAGCAGUGGGGAAUAUUGCACAAUGGACGAAAGUCUGAUGCAGCAACGCCGCGUGGAGGAUGACACAUUUCGGUGCGUAAACUCCUUUUAUAUGAGAAGAUGAUGACGGUAUUAUAUGAAUAAGCACCGGCUAACUCCGUGCCAGCCGCCGCCGUAA
rnacentral:rRNA from 1 species